GACGAACGCUGGCGGCGUGCUUAACACAUGCAAGUCGAACGGAAAGGCCCUGCUUUUGUGGGGUGCUCGAUUGGCGAACGGGUGUGUAUCACGUGUGUAUCCUCUCCUUGACUUUGGGAUAACUUCAGGAAACUGGGGCUCAUACCGGAUAGGAGCUCUUGCUGCAUGGUGGGGGAUGGAAAGUUUCGGCGGUUGUGGAUGGACUCGCGGGUUAUCAGCUUGUUAGUGGGGUAGUGGCUUACCAAGUUUUAGACGGGUAGCCGGCCUGAGAGGGGGACCGGCGACCAGAGGACUAAGAUACGCAGCAGUCGGCUACGGGAGGCAGCAGUGGGGAGUAUUGCACAAUGAGCGGAAGCCUGAGGCGGCAACGCCGGGUGCGGGAUGACGGCCUUCUGGUUGUAAACCGCUUUCGACUGAGACGAAGCGGGAGUGACGGUAAUGAGUAAAGAAGCACCGGCUAACUACGUG
rnacentral:rRNA from 1 species